ensembl:snoRNA
CUGGUGACAUGAUGAACAUAGCCAAAUCACCAUCUUUCAGCUGAAUGUAUGAUGAUUUGUUUUACCUGAACAAUCCA